AAAGCACAGGCAAAUUUACACAAAAUUACAUUCAGAAAAGUUAAAAAUAUAAUCAAAUUUAAUAAUUUUAUCGGUGUUUCAUGUACGGUGUUCAGGUGUAUGUCAUAUUGGUACGAUAUAUUUCCUAAGUAUGCAAUAUGUACCGAACAAUAUGCAUUACAGGUACUAUGAUGAUACGCUGUAUUGUAUCAUGUACACUUUUUGUACUACUACUGUACAGUUACUCCAUACCCCGCCAUCUCGUAGCAGUACAGUAACAAAUACGAUACUGGUACUUUGUGCGGGAGUCGCACGCUUGGUUAUCUAGGCAAUUUUAGCCUAAACUGCAGAUAUAGGCAACGCAUUGUUCACCACAUAUAGUACUGAUACGUACGAUUCGACAUACGUUCACUGUACAAGUACCGUGGAAAUAUUUUGUUAUCUGGAUAUACGUGAAAUUUCACGUGAAAUUACAUAAUUAAUCCCCUGAUCGAAUUUGCCAAUCUGCUAGCAAAUUGCUAUUAUUUUGCUGGGGGAAUAAUAAAUUAAUAAUAGCUAAUUGUUUAAAAUUUUCAACAAUCAUGCAUGAUCACUCCAAUUCUCAAUUUACUCCAGCGAUAAAUUAUCAAUACAUCAUCGACGGAAUUUCGUAAUUUAUCCGCUAACGCACGGAAUAUAAAUUAUUAAAGUAGAUUCGCUUUAAAAGAAUGCACAUUGGUUAGAAUGUACAAAUAAUUUAUUUGUAAGGACAUAAUUCAUCUGUAGGAGUAUCGCCAAUGACGAUAGUGAUGGCGAGCUUAAUACUCCUCUUCUUCCUCGGUAUUAACGGCAUCUUCUUGCACUUCACGAUAAUCAAGCUCCAAGGCGGCUAGAUCUUCCCGAGCUUCCGAGAAUUCACCCUCCUCCAUGCCUUCCCCAACAAACCUGCAACAAGUUAUUUAGAAUGUUUAAGUUAUAUUUAAGUAAGCUAGAUGAUUGAAUAAGAUUAAUGGACCAAAUUACAUAAUUAUUAUUUGACGAACAGAUUGAUCAUCAAUUAAAUUCAAAGGAGUUUAGUCGAACAGGAAAAUUUUUGAUAAUUAAUCUGGAUGUGUUAGCAAGAAUGAGACAGCACACUGCUCUUUCCACUCGUGCAAGAUCACCACCCGGUACGACGCAAACGAUACUUACGAGCGGGAAGUGAAUACGUGGAUAAGGCACUAAAUUCGUCUGGAAUUCAGUAAGAUCGACAUUCA